rnacentral:rRNA from 1 species
GGAUAACUUACCCUUAGGACUGGGAUAACUCUGGGAAACUGGGGAUAAUACUGGAUAUUAGGCUAUGCCUGGAAUGGUUUGCCUUUGAAAUGUUUUUUUCGCCUAAGGAUAGAUCUGCGGCUGAUUAGGUCGUUGGUGGGGUAAUGGCCCACCAAGCCGAUGAUCGGUACGGGUUGUGAGAGCAAGAGCCCGGAGAUGGAACCUGAGACAAGGUUCCAGACCCUACGGGGUGCAGCAGGCGCGAAACCUCCGCAAUGUACGGAAGUGCGACGGGGGGAUCCCAAGUGUUAUGCUUUUUUGUAUAACUUUUCAUUAGUGUAAAAAGCUUUUAGAAUAAGAGCUGGGCAAGACCGGUGCCAGCCGCCGCGGUAACACCGGCAGCUCGAGUGGUAGCUGUUUUUAUUGGGCCUAAAGCGUUCGUAGCCGGUUUGAUAAGUCUUUGGUGAAAGCUUGUAGCUUAACUAUAAGAAUUGCUGGAGAUACUAUUAGACUUGAAGUCGGGAGAGGUUAGAGGUACUACCGGGGUAGGGGUGAAAUCCUAUAAUCCUGGGAGGACCACCUGUGGCGAAGGCGUCUAACUGGAACGAUCUUGACGGUGAGUAACGAAAGCCAGGGGCGCGAACCGGAUUAGAUACCCGGGUAGUCCUGGCCGUAAACGAUGUGGACUUGGUGUUGGAAUGGCUUCGAGUUGUUCCGGUGCCGAAGGGAAGCUGUUAAGUCCACCGCCUGGGAAGUACGGUCGCAAGACUGAAACUUAA